rnacentral:rRNA from 1 species
AUGGCGGCGCCGGCGCCCAAACCGCAGCGGCAGCGACGUCUCGCCGUGCCUAUCCUGCUCGCCGUCCUCCACCUUCUCCUGGCCCCGCCGCGGUGCCAUGCCGCGGCAAGCGACCUUCUGCCGCGCCGGCUAGCGUGGUCGCUCAUGGGCGACACCAUACACAGCGCCGUCGACCUCCUCCCGACCUUCGUCGCCUUCGCGGCGCCCGGCGGCCCCGCGGCCGCCUGGCGCGGCGCGUGCUUCGCGGAGAACGAGGCGGUCCUCAGCCUCACGCCCGGCCCCCGUGGAAGCAACGGCACGGCCGCGGGCCUUGGCGGCGCCGUCCUACGCCUCAAGACUGCUUCGGCUCAGAGCUGGACAUGCAUGGACCUGUAUGUAUUUGCCACACCGUACAGGAUAGGAUGGGAUUACUACACCAGAGCACAUCAACACACCUUCGAGAUCAAAUCGUGGGAAGAAGCAGGAGAAAUGGAAUAUGUGAAGCUGCAUGGGGUUGCCAUUUUCCUCAUGCCAUCCGGAAUGCUCGGGACAUUGUUAUCUCUGAUCGAUGUGAUUCCUCUGUUUUCCAACACCAUUUGGGGACAGGACGCCAACUUGGCAUUUCUUAAGAAGCACAUGGGGGCUUCAUUUGAGAAGCGUUCUCAGCCUUGGGCCUCCAACAUACGGAAAGAGGAUGUGCACUCUGGUGAUUUCUUGGCUCUCUCCAAGAUUCGAGGGCGAUGGGGUGGGUUUCAGACCUUGGAGAAAUGGGUGACUGGUGCGUUUGCUGGGCAUACCGCAGUUUGCCUGAAAGAUGAGAACGGCACUCUCUGGGUUGCAGAAUCAGGUUACGAAAAUAAGAAGGGUGAAGAAGUUAUUGCUAUAGUUCCAUGGGAUGAAUGGUGGGGAGUGGCACUCAAAGAUGACUCGAAUCCACAGGUAGCAUUGCUUCCCUUGCACCCUGACGUGAGGGCCAGAUUCAAUGAAAGUGCUGCAUGGGAAUUCGCCCGAAGCAUGUACGGAAAACCGUAUGGCUAUCAUAAUAUGAUAUUUAGUUGGAUUGAUACAAUGUCGGAAAAUUAUCCUCCACCUCUAGAUGCUAACCUGGUAAUGGCGGCUAUGUCGAUGUGGACCAGAUUACAACCACGCUAUGCUUCAAACAUGUGGAACGAGGCUCUUAACAAGCGACUUGGGACUGAGCAACUUGACCUGCAUGGCAUCAUCAGCGAGACGGAGCGGCGGGGCAUGUCUUUCAACCAGCUGCUGACCAUACCGGAGCAGGACGAGUGGGUGUACAGCGACGGCAAGUCGACGACCUGCGUCGCCUUCAUCCUCGCCAUGUACAAGGCGGCCGGGGUGUUCGCUCCCUUCACAGAGUCCAUCCAGGUCACGGAGUUCACCAUCCGGGACGCGUACACGCUGAGGAUCUUCGAGGACAACCGGACGAGGCUGCCGGGGUGGUGCAACGGCGACGCGGACGGGCUGCCCUUCUGCCAGAUCCUCGGGGAGUACAAGAUGGAGCUCCCGGAGUACAACACCAUCCAGCCGUACGCCAACAUGAACGAGAACUGCCCCUCCUCGCCGCCCACCUACAGCAGGCCGCUGCGAUGUUGA